AUUGAACGCUGGCGGCAGGCCUAACACAUGCAAGUCGAGCGGAGCGGCGGACGGGCGAGUAAUGCCUAGGAAUCUGCCUGGUAGUGGUGGAUAACGUCCGGAAACGGGCGCUAAUACCGCAUACUAUCAGAUGAGCCUAGGUCGGAUUAGCUAGUUGGUGGGGUAAAGGCCUACCAAGGCGACGAUCCGUAACUGGUCUGAGAGGAUGAGCAGUAACACUGGAUCUGAGACACGGUCCAGACUCCUACGGGAGGCAGCAGUGGGGAAAAGUGGACAAUGGGCGAGAGCCUGAUCCAGCCAUGCCGCGUGUGUGAAGAAGGUCUUCGGAUUGUAAAGCACUUUAAGUUGGGAGACGUUACCAGCAGAAGAAGCACCGGCUAACUUCGUGCCAGCAGCCGCGGUAAUUC
rnacentral:rRNA from 1 species